UAGAAUCAAUAAGACUAAACCAGAAUUAAAAAAAAAAUAGAAUUGAAACAAAAAAACAACCGGAGACUUAGGCUCCACUACAGAAGACGACGGAGGUGCAGGAUGGUGAGACAACGGCGGUGACAAACCAAAAACUAGAGAUGGAAGGACAAUACUACUUCAAUGAGGGAAAAGAAGAGACUAAUUAAACAGACGACACAGCUUCAACGACGAACGAGAGACAGGCGGCUUCGAUUGUGCUAGUGCGUGCUGCUGCGGUUCAUCGAGGAUGAUGGUGACUAUUGGUUUGUGGAGGAGAUGGCUACUGGAGAGGUAGUGUGUGGAGCCGUCGAGGAUAUGCGAGAGAGAGAAGCACUACGAGCCUAUGAGGAAGGGAGAGGGAGAGGAAAGGGUCGUGCCGCCGCAGCGAUGGUGCUGUCCGGCAGUGUCGAUGGCGUAGAAGAAGGAGGAGGUUCGGCGGUGAGAUUCGGCGCUAGAGAGAUAGAGAGGGCUCGAGGGAGUUAGGAUUCAUGGAACCUGCUUGAUGAAGGCACCUUGACAAAGCUGAUUCACCAACUUAAUGAGACAACUGAGUAUUUAGAAGAUGCAAAGGAACAUGGACAAAAGAAAGGGGAUGAUUUACUUGCAUCUGUUAUGAUUAUUGGGAGCUAUCUUGCUGAAGUGUCUCUUGUAUUCAAGGAGAAGAUUCAAAAUCUUUUAGGCUAUAUGCUUUCUGUUGAAGGAGAAGAUGAACAAAGAUUGAUAAGGUCACACAUUUCCAUCUUUAUUUUUGAGGGAGGUAAAGAAACAGAUAAGGCCUAUGCAUGGCCCAAAACCUCUCAUAGAUUUAUUGUAUCAAGUUUUCUGUCUCUGAAGUGAGUUUAUCUGAUUAAACAAAUCCAAUCAUCAAUAGGGACUUGGAUGCAGAAUUCAAAAAAGACUUUUGUUAGUUAUGGGAAGCUUUGAUUCUUAAAGAUUUGAAUAAAACACACAGGCUUGAUGAAAGAUUUAGUGCUUGGAAGUAUUCUUGAUAUAUUCCCAUCAUUUUCACUGGAACAACUGUUGAAAGGUGAUCUUUCUUAACAUUUUAUUUGAUCAUGCACAUAAAUACUUCAAAUACUUCAAUAAUACACAUAAGAAUAAAAGGAUGUAGCAAAAUGUAAUGGUAUUCUGCAUUGUGUAUGAAGUUUGGUUGCAGAUUAAAUAUGCAAAGGGCGAACAAGGUAUGUGUGAAAUGCCCCAAAUUAUAUAGCAAUUUAUUUGAGUUUGUAAUCCUAGAAAAUAAGAGGGAUUUGAAGGGUAAUUGUUAUGGUUUUGGUUGACAAAAUUGUGUCAGUUAUUAAAAGGCUUGGUGGUCAUUACACUUGUAAUACUGUACUUAGACUUGCUCCCUAUCUUGCUAUUAUAUGUUAAAUGUUUGCAAGUUUAUUAAGAGUUAGAUGCACUUUAGCAAAAGCAUCUAUGAAGUUUUUCUUUCAUGUUUGUAUAUUUUUAAAUUGAGGUGAUUUCAAACUGAGCUUGCUAGGGAUAUGGCAUAUGCUGCUGCAGGAUUUGAACAUGUAAUGCUGCCUGAGAAUGUUCAUGAACCUGCCUUAUCUACUCGUUCCUUGGGUUCUUUCACAAUCGUUCCUACUUGUGUCGCCUCCAGUCUCUUAAUAGAGAAUCUAUCUAGCUUUUUCCAUUCAAUAUCUAAACCAGGUUUUAAUUUGCAUUGUUAGAACAUUUUUUACAAAUUUUUGCUGUUUAGUAUUGUUAUAAUAGUUUAUAUAUGACUAUGAGUCUGGGAUUAAAUUUUAUGUAUAAGUAGCUGGGUUUAUUUUGUCUCUCUUUGGUUGAUUUAUGUAAAUGAUGUAUUGUAGAAUAUGAAUUUUGUACUAGUUGAUUAGUGCAGUGACUUUAGUAAAUUUUACUUAAUUUCUCUUUUAUAAUUUCUAUGAUUUUGUAAUUGGUCAUACGAAGAGAAAUGCUUACAUUAGAUCAUCUAAUUUGAACUAGUAUAGAUGUUUAUAGAGCCAACAAUCCUAUGUUUUCAUUGGAUACGUGUUCAUAAUUACAAAAUUAUGAACAGAGCUACAUCAGGUGCUACAUCAGGUGGUAUCUUAGACAAAGCUAUAGAAGCAGAAGAUAAGAAGCAUGGAGAUUUCUUGAGGCUGGAUCAUGUUAAAGAAUAUCUUGAAUUAUCAGCAAAGACAAAGACCUACUUUGUAAUUGCUGUUAACUUAUGGGAUGCUGAUUUUUACAAAAAGUUGAUGAUAAUGUUCAUAUAAACAUAGGGAACAAAAUUUAUAAUGUAAGGAAAAUAAGUUGUAGUAAAGAAAAAUGGUACAACAAAUUGUAGUUUAGCAAUUAUUUUUUUUAAUAUAAUGUAAAAAAUUGUUGCGGUAUGAAAAUCGCCACAAUAUUUUUUUUUAAAAAAGCACCUAUUAAAGUUGCGGCGGUUUGAAACCGCAGCAAUUUUUUUAAAAAAAGAAUUAGUAAAAGAAAUAGCGACAGUUUUACAAUGAUUGCAAAAUCAAUCAUCUAAUUAUGACGGUUAUACCAGCGGUUGCUGAAAAUCGCUGUAAAAUCUACUGCCCACACAAACAAGGGAGGUUAACAAACCGCUGGAAUUAGAUUUUGCGACGGUUUAAAACUGCCGCAAAUAACAAA